UAUUAUUUAAUAAUUUACCGAGCAACAAUGUAUCUACUGCAAACAUUGAGAAACAUAAGAUACAUGACAUUACGAGGUAUGAGCUUUUUAAUAGUAACUGCCAACAAGCGUUGACAGUUACUUCAAAAAGCUCGUAUGCCGUAACGUGUGUUGUAUUACAUUGCGAGCCGAAUUAUGUUGCAUAGUUGAAAUGUUCAUUGUAUGUCUAAGCAAAAUCUAUCUCAAUGUACUUCUUAGGUCCUAUGCUAACCGCCGAUUAAAUUUUCGCCCUAUUGAAUUUACACACAGUAUUUCAAAAGUUCUAUUCAACUUUUAGAUUUAAUGUUUUCCUAAUUCGAAAUAAGAGUGCGUCAGAAUUAAUGGCGCCCUUAUUUGAAAUGACGAGCUCGAACAUUUCGUUAGAAGUUCGUUAUUUGCUUUCCUUUUAAGCCAUUAAGUAAGUACAAUUUGUUUUCUGUCAGUUACCCUUUCGGCACAACGGGUAGCUAAGUAGCUAUCAACAUCAGGCUGUGUAUUUGUAUUCCUUCCACAUUUCAAGCGGAGGCGAGUACUCGUUUGAAAAUAACAAAUAUAAGUGCACCUUCAAUUACACAUAGGCCUUACUAUGUUUGAAGACCAAGUUAUAAAGGCUUUGGCUAGGUUAAGUCGUAAGUUCGGCAAGCAAUAGAAACAUAGAGCCAGGCCUGAAGUUCUCAGUGGGCAGCAAGCGACACGGAACUACGACGCGACGCGACAAAUGAAUAAACAUUAUUGCGAGAAGUUUCUAAUAAACGAAGCAGAAAAUUUAUCACUACAAUCUUUCUUCCUUGAAAUGGUUAUUUGUGACAUUUUUAAUUACCUGUACUAAUAUAUCAUUAUAUCUUGAGGACCGGUCUGGCCGAGUGGGUAGUGAAUGGGUUACUCCCAGGUGUUAAUAAAGAAUUAAAGAUCAAUACUUGAUUAUAGUACUAGAAAAAAAACUUGGCUAAUAAUAAAAUAAACCGGUUAACUAAAACUUAAUAAUAUUUAUGUAAGUUACUUGGACACGGGUAGUCUGAUGUAAAAUUAAUGUGGAGAAGACCGUGUACCAGGCAAGACCGUCUACAAGCUCUUUCGACGCUUCUAACUCUUACGUUGGUACACAUACUCCACUUACAGGGUCUGUAAGCAGAAGGAUCAAAGCUCUUCCUUUCUGGCUAUAUAUGAGCGAAGUACGUAUAAAAAUACGAGAGUUCUUGCCCCAUGAACCCAUGAUGGAACCCAGCCAAAAAUUGAUAUGCCGGUUUUCCUCACAUUGACCUUAACCAGAUUCAUAUUAACCCUUUACCAGGCUGACAGUUUAAAAAUGACAAUCGAAUGUCAGUCUUACUCAUCGAAAAUAGAACACAUGUUUGAAGAGCCGCAUGUGGGAAAUAUAUAUCCCUUAGCCUGGUAAAGGUUUAAAUAUAAAACAUGAUAAAAACACUUAAGUCAAAAACGUAUACAUAAAAUAUUUGCCCUAUAUUCUGGUCGCUCGGUAGGGUGCCCAGAAGGCUGGGUGCAUUUCCGCGCUGGUUAACAAUGCUGAUUCUCUGGUCACCAGAAGCCUAUAUAAGGCGCUCUCAUAGAGCCACGCUAGUGCCCUAGAGUUUCAAAUUCAACCCCAAGUGCCACAAAUAUGUAGUUAAGGGUUUAAAUUCUGGAUCAAGAACAUGGAAUACUAUUCGCUAGUAAGGCCAUAG